rnacentral:lncRNA from 1 species
GCUGUUCCUGGAGCUGGUGACCUACUACCUAGUUCCUGGAACUGGUGGCUUUCUUUCUGAAAUCAAUGGAGACAAAUGGGGUUUAUGUUGUCCUGUCACCAGUGGCCACCAAGUCCAUCUUCUUUGGAUUCCAGAACCGUGAACACAGGUCACUCACAUCUGUCUGACCUCACAGAUGCUCCAGAAAACCUGCCUGAGCAGACUAAGAAAGUGUUUCAGUAGAGCCUUGAGAAGUGAGUGCAUGUCUGUGCCCGACUGCUGGACUGGAUCUCCUGAAGACAGUGACCAUGGACCCCCAGUUCCAGGGUGCAAAUGCUAAUGUGAAGAUGGAAACUUGGGGCCUCCAGGAACUUCUCAUGAGAUUCCUGCGACUUCUCGCCACUUCUCUGCCUCGCCUUGGGCCUUGCAGUUUCUUCAGGAUUGAACUGAAGCUCCUGAAUCCUAUUUAGUGUUUGCUAUGAACCUGAACUGCUGACAUUCUGACAAUGAAGAUUUCUAAACAG